rnacentral:rRNA from 1 species
GCGUGAGGAACCUGCCUCAAAGAGGGGGACAACAGUUGGAAACGACUGCUAAUACCGCAUAAGCCCACGGGUCGGCAUCGACCUGAGGGAAAAGGAGUGAUCCGCUUUGAGAUGGCCUCGCGUCCGAUUAGCUAGUUGGUGAGGUAAUGGCCCACCAAGGCGACGAUCGGUAGCCGGACUGAGAGGUUGAACGGCCACAUUGGGACUGAGACACGGCCCAGACUCCUACGGGAGGCAGCAGUGGGGAAUAUUGCACAAUGGGGGAACCCUGAUGCAGCGACGCCGCGUGGAGGAAGAAGGUCUUCGGAUUGUAAACUCCUGUUGUUGAGGAAGAUAAUGACGGUACUCAACAAGGAAGUGACGGCUAACUACGUGCCAGCAGCCGCGGUAAAACGUAGGUCACAAGCGUUGUCCGGAAUUACUGGGUGUAAAGGGAGCGCAGGCGGGAAGACAAGUUGGAAGUGAAAUCUAUGGGCUCAACCCAUAAACUGCUUUCAAAACUGUUUUUCUUGAGUAGUGCAGAGGUAGGCGGAAUUCCCGGUGUAGCGGUGGAAUGCGUAGAUAUCGGGAGGAACACC